UACGUAAGGUGCAAGCGUUGUCCGGAAUUAUUGGGCGUAAAGAGCUCGUAGGCGGUCUGUUACGUCGGCUGUGAAAACCCGGGGCUCAACCCCGGGCCUGCAGUCGAUACGGGCAGACUAGAGUGCGGUAGGGGAGACUGGAAUUCCUGGUGUAGAGGUGAAAUGCGCAGAUAUCAGGAGGAACACCGGUGGCGAAGGCGGGUCUCUGGGCCGUAACUGACGCUGAGGAGCGAAAGCGUGGGGAGCGAACAGG
rnacentral:rRNA from 1 species